AUUGAACGCUGGCGGCAUGCCUUACACAUGCAAGUCGAACGGCAGCACGGGGCAACCUGGUGGCGAGUGGCGAACGGGUGAGUAAUGCAUCGGAACGUGCCAUUGAGUGGGGGAUAACGUAGCGAAAGUUGCGCUAAUACCGCAUAUUCUGUGAGCAGGAAAGCAGGGGACCGCAAGGCCUUGCGCUCUUUGAGCGGCCGAUGUCAGAUUAGCUAGUUGGUGAGGUAACGGCUUACCAAGGCGACGAUCUGUAGCGGGUCUGAGAGGAUGAUCCGCCACACUGGAACUGAGACACGGUCCAGACUCCUACGGGAGGCAGCAGUGGGGAAUAUUGCGCAAUGGGGGAAACCCUGACGCAGCCACGCCGCGUGGGUGAUGAAGGCC
rnacentral:rRNA from 1 species